AGAUUUGAGGGUACUCUGACUGCAACAUCUAUGACCCCAUUGAUCGCCAGGAUUGAUUUGGUUGAUCUGGCUGAGUAGGCAGGUGUCCCCGUCCUCCCUCGCUGCCCCAUAUGUGUCCCUCCUAAAGCUGCAUGCUCAGUUGAAGAGGACGAGAGGACGACCUUCUCUGAUAGAGGAGGACCACGCUUCAGUCAAAGGCAUACAAGUA
rnacentral:snRNA from 1 species